rnacentral:misc_RNA from 1 species
AAGUCGUAACAAGGUUUCCGUAGGUGAACCUGCGGAAGGAUCAUUAUCGAAUGAAAUCAGAGUCGGUUGUCGCUGGCCUCUUCACUGAGGCAUGUGCACGCCUUCUCUAUUCAUCCACACACACCUGUGCACUUGUGAGACGGAUUGACCCUCUCGGGGGACGGUCCGUCUAUUUAUACAUAAACUCCAUAAUAUAAAUUUGAUGUAAUUUGAUGUAACGCAUCUUUAAACUAA